rnacentral:lncRNA from 1 species
CUAAAAAGAGGAGAAAGGAUAGUGUAAACAAAAUAAAAAAACAGAAGGAAAAGAAUUUCUGAAAAAAAACACCCUAAUUAUAUAUAACAGAAAAAAACUAAAAAAACUAAUAAAAAAACUUAAAACAGGCAGAAAAAAAACUAGAGAAAACUAAAAAAAGAGAAAGGAUAGUAUAAACAAAAUUGAAAAAACAGAAAGAAAAGUAUAUCAGAAAAAACACCCCAAAUAUAUAGAAAAAACAAAAAAAAACAACAAAAAAACUUAAAACAGGCAGAAAAAAACUAAAGAAAACUAAAAAAGAGAAAGGAUAGUAUAAACAAAAUAAAAAAACAGAGGGAAAAGUAUUUCAGAAAAAAAGACCCUAAAUAUAUAGAAAAAACAAAAACAAAAAAAAAUUAAAACAGGUAGAAAAAAACUAAAGAAAACUAAAAAAGAGAAAGGAUAGUAUAAACAAAAUAAAAAAAACAGAAGGAAAAGUAUUUUAGAAAGGGAAACCCUUUAUAUUUAUAAAUAACAAAAAAACUAAAAAAAAACUUUAAACAUGCAGAAAAAAACUAAAGAAAACAAAGAAAAAGAAUAGUAUUUGUAAAAAAAAAAAAAAAAAGUAAAAUCACAGUAUUUCUGAAAAAAAAAACUUAAAACAGGCAGAAAAAUAAAAAAGAACUAUAGGAAACUAAAGAAAAGAAAAGUAUUUCUGAAAAAAAGGAACAAAAACCCACCCUAAACCGGGUGUUUUGGACAGAAAAAAAAACCCUUGCGGUUUUUCCCUCCCAUGUGAGGGUUUUUUCCCCUCCUUGAGCUACCACCUUACCGUGGUGGAGGGGUUUGUGUGUCCCAAUGAUCCCAGGAGCUAUGUUGUCAGGGCUUUAUGCCUCUGAAAGGUUACCCAAGGCAGCAGGUCCUGGGGUAGGGACCAGACUAAGAGUAGCUCAUCCAGACAGAGGUGCCAGGGAAAAAAAUAGGGAAAAAAACUGAAGAAAAAAAAAACUAAAGAAAACAAAAAAUAGAAAAAUUAAAACAGGCAGAAAAAAACUAAAGAAAACUAAUAAAAAGAAGAUUAGUAUUUCCAAAAAAACUUCAAAAAACUGAAAAAAAAACUUAGAACAGGCAGACAAAAACUAAAGAAAACUAAAAAAGAGAAAGGAUAGUAUAAACAAAAUAAAAAAAACAGAAGGAAAAGUAUUUCAGAAAAGAACACCCUUAAUAUAUAUAAAUAACAAAAAACUAAAAAAAACUUAAAACAGGCAGACAAAAACUAAAGAAAACUAAAAAAAGAAGAAAAAGAAUAGUAUUUCUAAAAAAACUUUAAAAAACUAAAAAAAAAUCUAAAAAAAAACUUAACAGGCAGAAAAAAACUAAAGUAAACUAAAAAAGGAGAAAGGAUAGUGUAAACAAAAUAAAAAAAACAGAAGGAAAAGUAUUUCAGAAAAAACACCCUAAAUAUAUAGAAAAAACAAAAAAAACUAAAAAAACAAAACAAAACUUAAAACAGGCAGAAAAAAACUAAAGAAAACUAAAAAAUUGAAAGGAUGGUAUAAACAAAAUAAAAAAACAGAAGGAAAAGUAUAUCUGAAAAACACACCCUAAAUAUAUUUAUAAAUAAAAAAAACUAAAAAAAAACUAAUAAAAAAACUUAAAACAGGCAGAAAAAAACUAGAGAAAACUAAAAAAAGAGAAAGGAUAGUAUAAACAAAAUUGAAAAAACAGAAAGAAAAGUAUAUCAGAAAAAAUACCCCAAAUAUAUAGAAAAAAAAAAAAAAAAAACUUAAAACAGGCAGAAAAAAACUAAAGAAAACUAAAAAAUAGAAAGGAUAGUAUAAACAAAAUAAAAAAACAGAGGGAAAAGUAUUUCAGAAAAAAAGACCCUAAAUAUAUAGAAAAAACAAAAAAAACUAAAAAAACAAAACAAAACUUAAAACAGGCAGAAAAAAACUAAAGAAAACUAAAAAAUAGAAAGGAUGGUAUAAACAAAAUAAAAAAACAGAAGGAAAAGUAUAUCGGAAAAACACACCCUAAAUAUAUUUAUAAAUAAAAAAAACUAAAAAAAAACUAAAAAAAAAACUUUAAACAGGCAGAAAAAAACUAAAGAAAACUAAAAAUAGUAUAAACAAAAUUAAAAAACAGAAGGAAAAGUAUUUCUGAAAAAACACCCUAAAUAUAUUACAAAAAGAACUAAAAAAAACUUUAAAAAAAACUUAAAACAGGCAGAAAAAUCUAAAGUAAACAAAAAAAGGAGAAAGGAUAUUAUAAACAAAAUAAAAAAAAAGAAGGAAAAGUAUUUCUGAUAAAACACCCUUAAUAUAUUACAAAAAGAACUAAAAAACUAAAAGAAAAACUUAAAACAGGCAGACAAAACACUAAAGAAAAUUAAAAAAAGAGAAAGGAUAGUAUAAACAAAAUAAAAAAACAGAAGGAAAAGUAUUUCAGAAAAAAACACCCUAAAUAUAUAGAAAAAACUAAAAAAAAAAAUUAAAACAUGAAGAAAAAAAUGAAGAAAACUACAAAAGAGAAAGGAUAGUUAAAACAAAAUAAAAAAAAACAGAAAGAAAAGUAUAUCAGAAAAAAACACCCUAAAUAUAUAGAAAAAAAGAAAAAAAAAACAAAAAAAAAUUAAAACAGGCAGAAAAAAAACUAAAGAAAACUAAAAAAAGAGAAAGGAUAGUAUAAACAAAAUAAAAAACAUAAGGAAAAGUAUUUCAGAAAAGAACACCCUUAAUAUAUAUAAAUAACAAAAAACUAAAAAAAACUUAAAACAGGCAGAAAAAAACUAAAGAAAACUAAAAAAAGAAGAAAAAGAAUAGUAUUUCUAAAAAAAACUUUAAAAAACUAAAAAAAAUCUAAAAAAAAACUUAACAGGCAGAAAAAAACUAAAGUAAACUAAAAAAGGAGAAAGGAUAGUGUAAACAAAAUAAAAAAAAACAGAAGGAAAAGUAUUUCAGAAAAAACACCCUAAAUAUAUAGAAAAAACAAAAAAAAACUAAAAAAACAAAACAAAACUUAAAACAGGCAGAAAAAAACUAAAGAAAACUAAAAAAUAGAAAGGAUGGUAUAAACAAAAUAAAAAAACAGAAGGAAAAGUAUAUCUGAAAAAAACACCCUAAAUAUAUUUAUAAAUAAAAAAAAACUAAAAAAAAACAAAAAAAAAACUUUAAACAGGCAGAAAAAAACUAAAGAAAACUAAAAAUAGUAUAAACAAAAUUAAAAAACAGAAGGAAAAGUAUUUCUGAAAAAACACCCUAAAUAUAUUACAAAAAGAACUAAAAAAAACUUUUAAAAAACUUAAAACAGGCAGAAAAAUCUAAAGUAAACUAAAAAAGGAGAAAGGAUAUUAUAAACAAAAUAAAAAAAAGAAGGAAAAGUAUUUCUGAUAAAACACCCUUAAUAUAUUACAAAAAUAACUAAAAAAACUAAAAGAAAAACUUAAAACAGGCAGACAAAAAACUAAAGAAAAUUAAAAAAAGAGAAAGGAAAGUAUAAACAAAAUAAAAAAAACAGAAGGAAAAGUAUUUCAGAAAAAAACACCCUAAAUAUAUAGAAAAAACUAAAAAAAAAAUUAAAACAUGAAGAAAAAAAUGAAGAAAACUACAAAAGAGAAAGGAUAGUUAAAACAAAAUAAAAAAAAACAGAAAGAAAAGUAUAUCAGAAAAAAACACCCUAAAUAUAUAGAAAAAACAAAAAAAAAACAAAAAAAAAUUAAAACAGGCAGAAAAAAAACUAAAGAAAACUAAAAAAAAGAGAAAGGAUAGUAUAAACAAAAUAAAAAACAGAAGGAAAAGUAUUUCAGAAAAGAACAACCUAUAUAUAUAUAUAUAUAAAUAACAAAAAAAAACUUAAAAAAAACUUAAAAACAGGCAGAAUAAAACUAAAGAAAACUAAAAAAGAAGAAAAAGAAUAGUAUUUCUAAAAAAACGUUAAAAAAAUAAAAAAAACUUAAAACAGGCAGAAAAAACUAAAGUAAACUAAAAAAAGGAGAAAGGAUAGUGUAAACAAAAUUAAAAAAACAGAAGGAAAAGUAUUUCUGAAAAAAAACACCCUAAAUAUAUAUAACAAAAAGAACUAAAAAAACUAAAAGAAAGGAUAGGAUAAAGGAUAGAAAGGAUGGUAUAAACAAAAUAAAAAAAAAAAACAGAAGGAAAAGUAUUUCAGAAAAGAAAAACCUAUAUAUAUAUAUAAAUAACAAAAAAACUGAAAAAAAAACUAAAAAAAACCCUUAAAAACAGGCAGAAUAAAACUAAAGAAAACUAAAAAAAGAAGAAAAAGAAUAGUAUUUCUAAAAAAAACUUUAAAAAACUAAAAAAAAACUUAAAACAGGCAGAAAAAACUAAAGUAAACUAAAAAGAGGAGAAAGGAUAGUGUAAACAAAAUAAAAAAACAGAAGGAAAAGAAUUUCUGAAAAAAAAACACCCUAAUUAUAUAUAACAGAAAAAAACUAAAAAAACUAAUAAAAAAACUUAAAACAGGCAGAAAAAAAACUAGAGAAAACUAAAAAAAGAGAAAGGAUAGUAUAAACAAAAUUGAAAAAACAGAAAGAAAAGUAUAUCAGAAAAAACACCCGAAAUAUAUAGAAAAAACAAAAAAACAAAAAAACAAAAACUUAAAACAGGCAGAAAAAAACUAAAGAAAUAAAGGAUAGAAAGGAUGGUAUAAACAAAAUAAAAAAAAAACAGAAGGAAAAGUAUUUCAGAAAAGAACAACCUAUAUAUAUAUAUAAAUAACAAAAAAACUGAAAAAAACCUAAAAAAAAACCUUAACAACAGGCAGAAUAAAACUAAAGAAAACUAAAAAAAGAAAAAAAAGAAUAGUAUUUCUAAAAAAAACUUUUAAAAACUAAAAAAAAAACUUAAAACAGGCAGAAAAAAACUAAAGUAAACUAAAAAGAGGAGAAAGGAUAGUGUAAACAAAAUAAAAAAACAGAAG